AGUCUAAGAAUUAAGGUAAAUUUAUUUGUUGAUUAACUUUUUCAUAUGAGUGAACGAUACACAGAUUAUACAAAUACAGCUUAAACUUGACCAAUUGUUUAUCAUAAAUUAUUAAUGUGUCACCCAUCCGCUGCUGAGCGGAUGACUGAUAAUGAUAUUAACCUUCAUGAAAAAUAUUUAAAGACUCGAUGCCAGUAGUCAAGCAUAGUUAGCAUUAAAAUAUACAAAACGUAAUUAUUUAGUGACCUGAUUUAACAAAAUAUGAUGGUGGACUUAUGUAGGUGUAUUAUUUGUUUAAUCACUAUUCUGGUCAGAGGAGGUGAAUCCCUCCAAUGUUGGUCAUGUUCUUCUAUCUAUGAGCCGGGCUGUGACGAUCCGUUUAAGCCCAACGAUCUUACGGCGGGAGCAGAGUAUUUUCUGUUCGACUGCAACCACAAUUAUAUAAAUGGAAGUAUGGAGGACCAGGAACUCAUGGAACAUGUAUUCGGUACUGACGCAAAACCCUAUUGCAGAAAAACAGUUCGUCAAGUAUAUGGGAUAACCAUCGUUCAUCGCGGAUGCUCUUUCGGUGACUUUUCUAAGGACUGUUCAAAUGGCCAUGGCACCUGCGAUAGCACAGCCUGCUACCAAGACGGCUGCAACGCGUCCACAACCCUCAGCCGAAUUACCUUGCUGUUUACACCUAUUAUUACAUUAUCACUCUUGUGUUAAAUUAAAAUACACUCCAAAAAGCCGCAGACACUAAACAAAAUUAAAGAAAGCAAGUAAAAUUCCUAUAGUAAAUAAGUUAAUGGUCGAUAUAUCAAACAUACUUACCAGAGCCUGAGCUUUAGUAAAAUAGGGCUGUCAUAUAGUAGGUGCCAAAUUAAGUAUGAAACCUAAGUGAUGUUAUGUUGCUUUUAUUUAUUCGUAUGGCAUUUACAGAGUCGCUUAAUUAUAAAUUAUAAUACAAUAUCUAAGUUCUUCACCCAUUGGGCAGCGUUUGUAUCAGGUGAGUGAAGAUCUAGGGCCUCUCCAAUUUCCGUAUCGGGCAAUUAUGUGUAAUGUGGUGUAUAGUCUGCACUGGGGCCCCGCAGUCGCAUGAUGCUGGUGAGUCUUGCCAACCACACUUAAACAAGUAGUCCGCACAGCGUCCAUGUUGGAUACGGAGUCUGUCUAAUUGGCAUCAUUCCUUCCUAAUGCUGAAAAGCCAUACGGCUUUCUGGUAGGGUCGUACCUACGAUAUUUAGGCUGGGCUUUGGCAGGUUGGAUUUCCACUCAUCUUUCCAAGUGUCUUUUAUAUUGAAUCCGCCUUGCGUCAGGUUUUGAGCGGAGGAGGAGAGGUUUUGAUAGGGCGGGUGUCGAGACUUCAGACGAUGCUGUGGUAGAUUAAGGAAUUCCUGGCGGAUCGGCAGAUUCGGGUCGCUGUGAAUUUUGUUCGCUUCUUUUACCAGUGCCAGUAGACGACAGUCUAAGAUGAGGUGGAGGGAUGUGGCUUAGGGCUGGGAGCCAUUGUAUGGGUGUGGAUUUGACCGUACCUGAGAUACAUCUCAUAAAAUCUCAAAAGUAUUACGCAGUUGCACAUCAACUUUCUCUGUGUGAGCACUAUUGAGCCAGACUGGUGCGCAGUAUUCGCCAGCAGAAAGCUCAGCCCAGUUGUACGAAGAACGUCCGCUUUUGCACCCUAAGUAAUGCCAGUUAAUUUGUGGAGUAUUUUGUUCCGAGUCCCAAGUUUUUUGCUCAGCUUUUGAAGGUGGGGGCCGAAAGUAAGUGAGCGGUCCAGGGUCACACAAAGAUAUUUAGGGUGCGGGUUGAAAGUUAAUAUUUCACCAUCAUAUGCUACCGUUGGGAUAGAAGCAGCUUGUUUGUUGUUGAGGUGGAACGUCGAAACUUUCGUUUUGCUGGCAUUAGGAACAAGACGCCAUUUCUUAAAGUAUUCAUUUAGAGAACCUUAAUCUUUGUUGAGCUGUUCUUCAGAUACCUCGAAUGUCUUGUGCUGGUGCGCAAUUGUGAUAUCAUCGGCAUACACACAUUUCCUAGAGACUGUUUUGGGUAGGUCAUAAGUAUAUAGAUUAAAGAGCAAUGGCGCCAGCGUGGAUCCCUGUGGUAACCCAUUGUUUAAGGUUCUAAGGCGACUCUGUUUAUCUCCUAGAUGGGCUACAAGUUCCCUGUUCCUCAGCAUAUUGUCAAUCAGUCUAACAAUUUUACGACACGGGACAGCUUUCAUCAACUUAUAGUAAAGUGCCUGUUUCUAUACGGUAUCGUAGGCUGCACUUAAGUCAAUAAAAGCAGCUACGGUUUUCAAGUUCUUCUGGUAGCCAGAUUCUAUGUGCGUUGUGAGAGACAGCACUUGAGCCGUGCAGUUACGUCCAGUUCUAACCCCUGCUUGUUCGACGGGGACUAUGCGAUCAAUGAGAGGGGUGAUCCUAUUCGAAAUUAGUUUUUCCAGGAGCUUGAAUAAUGCACUAAGUAAUGCGAUAGGUCUAUAGCUUUUCGAGUCUUCGGCUGGUUUAUCGGGUUUUAAGAUGGCUAUUAUCUUGGCAUGUUUAAAGCCUGGUGGCAGCGUGUUUCUUUCUAAUAUGUCCGUGUUGAAAGCAGCCAACCGCUUGCGGCAGUUGGCGCCUAAGUUCUUAAUUAAUUCAUUGUAAACGCCAUCUUCUCCUGCAGCUUUGCCCAAGUUAUGUUGCUGUUUUACUAGAACAAUUUUUAUUAUUCUUUGACCUUUGACCUUAAACUAAGUACAUUUCAAUACAUUUAAAUAACAGCAGUACUCUUACUACUCUGUCUGUACGGUUUGCUUUUUUUAAUAUUCUGGUUUUUAUAAGAACUAGAUUACUGCAAACAACGUUAAAAAUGGAAAAAAAUGCGCCGUAAACAGACGCCUAGCAUACAAAUUUGGCAAGAUUAAACGCAAAAAUCUAAACGAUAGGAUACAGAUUUCCUUUAUCAUUUCGUUCCCAAAAUUUCGUUACGAUUAAUUAAGUUUUGGAGGAGGAAAAUGUCAAUUAAGAAAUAAGAAAUCAAUUUAGUCUAGUACGAGUAAAUGUUUUUACUAUCGAUUUAAACUUAAAAAAAUAAAACCUAGUCACGGAAAAACCCGACAAAUUUCAAUAGGGAGUAAGUACAUAAUAGAAGGUGGGGAGGGUCGAUCCCUAGGGCACACUUCAUUUUAAAUUUAACCAAACGUGAUACACUUUUUUACGCUAGCAACACUCAUUUAUUCGUUCCUAACUUCACUUUCUGUCAUGGCGCUCUUUCGAAAAAAUCAGCGGUUUGAAAAUGGCGGACGGUGAAAGAAUUACUGCGUAUUAUAUUACAUCUUCGGUAGGUUGUAACUGGAUUUAUUUAAUAAAAUGAGAUGGAAAUGCUGUUAGUGAGUAUGCUUAUUUUAUUUAAUGUUUAUUGAAGUGUUGAUUAACACAAGAUUCAAGUACGGCACGUUUUAUAAUCUCACUAUGUAUGGGGAGACUUUGUUAUUUUUGGGGGAGAUAUGAUUCCAGGAUCAUGUCACCCCAAACCCUAAAACUGUACCUUGCAAUCAAUUAAUAUCACAAAUACUUAUUUUCUUUUCUUUAGGAAACCAUGCUUUAAAAGUAUACGACCAGAGAAACACUGAUUUAAACUUUGAAUACUUUUGACUCAUUAUUGUUUAUUAAACCGAGAUUUAAUUUGAUACAUAUAACUUUAAACAUUAUCAUUAUAGGUAACUAAGGUCUAACAAAAAUAAUCUUAAGUCUUUGCGUAUACUACUUGUUUACUUCUUAGACGGCCCGGCAACGGCCGCAGUCCAGAUGCUAAGAAAUUGUUCACUAUUCAUCCUUUGUUUACCUUGUCGUCAUGUUAAAAAUGAAGUUAUCUUGGAAUACAAAUAAAUAAAUGUAAUAAACUGCACAACAUGUUAAGUGUAAAUUGAUUGGUACGUGUUGAAAAUUAUAUGUAAGGACGGUUAAUCCUGACCCACCGUGAUACAGUUCUUACUAGUACGGGGGUCAGAUGACACUUACUUGCCUGUUGGUUUUGUACCAUUGAAAUUAUGUAAGUAAAACAAUGUAAGUAAGUAGUAUAAGCACCUUUAUUAACUCAAUAAAAUAUCUUUAUUUUUA